rnacentral:rRNA from 1 species
UACGUAGGGUGCAAGCGUUGUCCGGAAUUAUUGGGCGUAAAGAGCUCGUAGGCGGUUUGUCGCGUCUGCUGUGAAAACUCGGGGCUUAACUCCGGGCCUGCAGUGGGUACGGGCAGACUAGAGUGCGGUAGGGGAGACUGGAAUUCCUGGUGUAGCGGUGAAAUGCGUUGAGAUCGGAAGGAACGCCCGUGGCGAAAGCGAGUCCCUGGACGCCAUCUGACGCUGAGACGCGAAAGCCAGGGGAGCGAACGGG